AUGAUCCGUCAGUUAUGCAAACCAACAAUACAGCCAUCGUAACGGCAAUAAGCUCAAUGAGUGACCUUUUAGCAGCUUCGUUAUCGUCGUUGAAAACAACUAUGACAAAUUCAUUUGCCGAAAUGCAGAAUACUUUGGGGCAAAUGGGUGUCGACGACGGCGGCGAGCUCUUGGAUAUCGAGAAGUUUGACACUGGCGAGCCGUCGUCUAAACGUGCCAGAGUCGAUGCAGUGGAAUUGCCCCAACAAUCUGGGACCACUGAACCAACUGAGAACGAUAUCGACGUUCUGAUAAAUCAGAACUCUCAGGUUAGUGGGAAAGAAACACAGAUCAAUACCAACAACGAUGAUUUGCAUGUCCUCUCAGGCAUUGCUAAUGAUCUAAAACUCGAACAACAGAAGAGUCCAGCAGUUAAUGAGCAACUAGCUAAAAUAGUGCAAAGCUUGAUGCGGGAAAAACUUGACGAUGACGUGUUGGCUCAGACACAGAAACGCCAUCUUAUUCCGGAGAACUGUGAUAGUUUGGCCACAACGAAAGUCAACCAUCUUAUCUGGGACAAACUGAAACCUGACACUCGCUCAGGCAAUAUAAAACUACAACGUGUUCAAGCCCACAUUGUCAAGGGUGUAAUACCCGUUGUCAAUGUAAUUCAAGCGGUCAUUAAUGCACGCGAGAAAAUUCCUCAAGAAACAUUAAAUGUCGAGGACCUUUUGAGAGCUGGCACGGAUGCUAUCGCUUUGCUUGGUGCCGCCAAUUUUGAGCUGAAUAUGCGAAGGCGAGACAACAUCAAGCACGAUGAUUAUAAACACCUAUGCUCUCCCACAGUUCCGUUCACGGAGUUUUUGUUUGGUAACGAUGGGGAGUUGUCCAAACAACUCAAGGAUCUCACUGAAGCAACCAAGGUCAGCAAAAAGAUUGCAAGACGCGGCUAUAAACCCGAGUUCAACCGGCAGAGAAACUACAAACCAGGACAAAAGAGAGCUUAUGGGCUUGGAUACAGGAACGGACCUCACAGCUCAAACCAAGCCAAUAAACAUUUAAACUGGAAACGGCCCGGCCUCCCAUACUCACGCGAAAGAGUCGAGGGGAAGAGCCAAAACAACCUAAUAAUCCUUCAAAUGAGGUUAGUAUCAAUACCUCUGGGUUUCAGGCAGGUAAUUUAAGAAAUUGUCUUGACGCGUGGCGUGAAAUAUCAAAUGAUUCAGAUAUUUUAGAUUGGGUUGCACACUGUCACAUCAAAUUUAUUAAUCAUGUGUUACCCGUUCAGACAAACCGUCGACCGGGCAUUCACUUUAAUGAUAAAGAGUCAAUUAUCAUAGAUAAAGAAAUUGAGAAGCUCCUUGGCAAAGGAGUCAUCGUACACUCUCAACAUGAAGAAGGAGAGUUUAUAUCACCUAUUUUUUUACGACUGAAGAAAAAUGGUGUUGAUUACAGAAUGAUUAUCAAUCUAAAAGAGCUUAAUAGCUUUGUUGUAUACGAACAUUUCAAAAUGGAUACACUUCAAUCAGUCAUUAAUAUGAUGACUCCAAAUUGUUAUAUGGCCUCAAUAGAUAUAAGGGAUGCUUAUUAUAGUAUACCAAUUGCAUUAGAGCAUCAGAAGUAUAUAAAGUUCCUCUGGAGAGAUAAAUUGUAUCAAUAUACUUGCUUGCCUAUGGGCCUAUCAUCACCCCCUAGAAUCUUUACGAAAAUCAUGAAACCUGCUUUUCAGCCCUUGAGGGAAAGAGGGUAUCUGUCAUCGUCAUAUAUUGAUGCCUGUUACCUGCAGGGAGACACAUACGAUGAAUGCAAGGAAAAUGUAGAUUUUACUAACUGUCAUCUAAAACAUUUGGGGUUUUUCCCUCAUGAAGAGAAAUCAGUACUUAUCCCAACACAAAAUAUGACCUAUUUGGGCUUUGAAUUGAAUUCAGUUGAUAUGACUGUCACGCUUACACAGCAACGAGCUCUGAAAAUUAAGCAAAAGUGCGAGUUUUAAUUAACGAGAAGCACAUUAUCAUUCACAGUCUUGCAGAGGUAAUAGGGUACUUGGUCUCUAGUUUCCCGGGGGUCGAGUACGGGCCUCUAUACUAUAGAAAUCUCGAACUUGAUAAAACUAUUGCUUUACAGAAGAACCAAGGGAAAUAUGAUGCGCGAAUGACCUUGUCUUCCGAGUCUCUAUCGGAUUUGACUUGGUGGCUUCAAAAUGUUGAGUCCUCCGUCAAGACCAUCUCGCAUGGCGACCCUGCAGUUGUUAUCCAAACUGAUGCAUCAUCGCAUGGAUGGGGAGGUGUUCGCCAUGAUUUGAGGACGGGGGGACGGUGGACCCCAGCUGAGCUUAACUAUCAUAUUAACUAUUUAGAAUUAUUAGCAAUUCUUUUCACUUUGAAAGCAUUAUGCGCAGAUUGCCAACACUCACACAUCCAGUUUGAUUGGACGCUGUUUAGAGAAAAUACAACAGAACAAUGCCGAAGGAA